CAGAAAUGACCACACUCCAAGGACUUUAUAGAGAUUUUCAAAUAAAAUUUAACUUUUAUUCAAUCCAUUUAAAAAGUCAAUGUUUCAGCUCCCACAUGGAGCUUUCAUCAGGACAAAACAUAACUUACAAGUGCAUACCCCAAUCCCUCAAAAUAAUUUACCUUAAUUUUGUACUCACCUAGCCAUGAGACAGCUUGCCCUGAAUUAGAGAGUAAUGUAUCUCUGAGUGUGGUGGCCAUGUGUUCAAGGCCCAGACAAGGGGCGGGGCUACAGGUUACUUAGUAACAAUCCAACUGGACUGAUUGCUUUCCACCUUGUGGCCUAGUAGCUACAAUCACGAUUGAGCUCAGGGUAAAGUAGUAGUGGAUACAGAGUCUAGAAUGUUUCAAAAAUGAAUCAGUCAGUGUUCAUAUAUUUUAAACAGAAUAACAGGCUAGAAGGGCCAUCAGGAAUUAAAAAUCUGUUAU